rnacentral:rRNA from 1 species
AGGUCGAAUAAUGUGUGAAAGUACACGAGCGGCGGACGGCAGAGUAACGCGUAGGAACGUACCCCAAAGUGAGGCAUAAGCCCGGGAAACCGGGUCUAAUACCGCAUAUUCUCUUCGGAGCAAAGCCUUGUGCGCUUUGGGAGCGGCCUGCGUAUGAUUAGCUUGUUGGUGAGGUAAUGGCUCACCAAGGCGACGAUCAUUAGCUGGUCUGAGAGGAUGAUCAGCCUGACUGGGACUGAGACACGGCCCAGACUCCUACGGGAGGCAGCAGUAGGGAAUUUUCCGCAAUGGGCGAAAGCCUGACGGAGCAACGCCGCGUGCAGGAGGAAGGCCUUCGGGUCGUAAACUGCUUUUAACGGGGACGAUUUUGACGGUACCCGUAGAAUAAGGAUUGGCUAAUUCCGUGCCAGCAGCCGCG